UGUGAGUAAAGCGGGCGGACGGGUGAGUAACGCGUAGGAAUCUACCUAGUAGUGGGGGACAACUCGGGGAAACUCGAGCUAAUACCGCAUACGCCCUACGGGGGAAAGCGGGGGACCUUCGGGCCUCGUGCUAUUAGAUGAGCCUGCGUUGGAUUAGCUAGUUGGUGGGGUAAAGGCCUACCAAGGCGACGAUCCAUAGCUGGUCUGAGAGGAUGAUCAGCCACACCGGGACUGAGACACGGCCCGGACUCCUACGGGAGGCAGCAGUGGGGAAUAUUGCGCAAUGGGCGAAAGCCUGACGCAGCCAUGCCGCGUGUGUGAAGAAGGCCUUCGGGUUGUAAAGCACUUUCAAUUGGGAGGAAAGGUUCACGGUUAAUAACCGUGAGCUGUGACGUUACCUUUAGAAGAAGCACCGGCUAACUCCGUGCCAGCAGCCGCGGUAAUACGGAGGGUGCGAGCGUUAAUCGGAAUUACUGGGCGUAAAGCGCGCGUAGGUGGUCUGUUAAGUCGGAUGUGAAAGCCCCGGGCUCAACCUGGGAACUGCACUCGAUACUGGCAGACUAGAGUGCGGGAGAGGGAGGUAGAAUUCCACGUGUAGCGGUGAAAUGCGUAGAUAUGUGGAGGAAUACCAGUGGCGAAGGCGGCCUCCUGGCUCGACACUGACACUGAGGUGCGAAAGCGUGGGAGCAAACAGGAUUAGAUACCCUGAUAGUCCACGCCGUAAACGAUGUCUACUAGCUGUAGGGGUACUUGAGACCUUUGUAGCGCAGCUAACGCAAUAAGUAGACCGCCUGGGGAGUACGGCCGCAAGGUUAAAACUCAAAUGAAUUGACGGGGGCCCGCACAAGCAGUGGAGCAUGUGGUUUAAUUCGAUGCAACGCGA
rnacentral:rRNA from 1 species